rnacentral:lncRNA from 1 species
AAAUAAUUUCACGUCAGAAAAAUAUUAUUUCAAAAUGCAUUGUUCAAAACUACAAAUAAUAAUUCCUUGAUUGUAUGACAUUAAAAUAACAUAUGAUGAGGCGGGCCGUCAACAAAUAACGGAGGGCCGCGGUCUGUGCAUCGCUGAUCUAGUCCAACAGAUACACCUCUUUAAAAAAGUUUAGGACCCUGCUAUUUUGGCUAUGUAAUUUUCUAAGAGAGCUCUAUAGUCGCUGGCCAUUGGGUGAAGAUGGGAGUUUUAGAUAACUAUUGAAAGCUAACUAUCCACUCAUAGAAUUUGAUACACUAUGUCUACGUCAGAUCACACUAUACAAUAGUUACCAUAGACUGUAUCACUAUACUGUUUACCAUAGAUAUUAUUAGACGUCAUUGUUACCCUAGAAAAACCUCGAUACACUUACACAUGGUAUGUCAACGCGCAUACUCCUAUGAAAUGUAUCGUCACUGUGACGUCAGCUGUGUUGCAAAAGAAACUUUUAUGGAGAACCUGCGUAAUUAACUCGCCUUUCAUCACAAAAUACGGAAUUAAAUUUGUACUUUUGUCUAGCAACAUGACUGAAGAUUUUAUAUUAUUUCCUGAUGACUUUUAGUAAUAUAAUUUAGCUAUAUUUUGCCAGCUGUAUCUAAUAUACAUGUAUUAUAUCAGUGAAAAAAAUAAAUCAUUUAAAUUCCAACCUUUGCCAACAAACCUGACUAGUUUCUGUUCCUUUACAGAAACUGUUACUGAUGAUGUGAAUCAUAUAAGCUUACAAGGGGAAUGCCAACUGUGGCCUCCUCCGAUUUUGACAAUUUUUAUGUAUGUUGUAGUACUACCCUUCCACAAAUCUAUGACAAAGCAAUGUGGUGUAACUCUCAAGCAUUCACAAGGAAAAGGC